rnacentral:lncRNA from 1 species
CUCGCCCCGGCCUCUGCAUCGAGUGAUGCAUACAGCCAUUUUAUUUAAUAGCAGAAAAGAUCCGAAGUAGGUACAAAGUCGAAAGUAAAGGGAAAAUAAAUUACAAGGCGAUGAACGCCUAAGCCGAAUAUCUGGAUAGGAGUAGUUGACUAAUUCCCUAUUCUAUCAGCAUGUCGCCAUCCAUAUCGGCUGAAGAUAGCCUGAGCUACCAUCUUCCAUCGGGCACACCCAGUAACCAAAGGCUCCCUGGUUUCCACAGGAGUGAGUAAGGACCACAUGCGGAUCAAUGCGGUAGCCCUGAAGAUGAC